GGGCCAGUGCAACUGCCUGAGGGGCAUGCUACCCGGGCUUGGCGGCCCCGCGGGAGUGGAGGGGAGCCCCGACACCACGGUGAAGACUGCUUCUCUCCUCUUUAACUUCCCCGCCUUCUCUUUCCGAAGUUUCAGCAAACACCGCCGCGGCCUCUCUCGGCACCCACGGGACCACGCGAAGAAGGGAGGGAGCAGCAUCCGGGCCCUUCGCGGGUGAACCGGCGGGCGGCCGGGCGGCCUGAGGCCUGCGCGUUUCCCAGCCGGAGCCGUGGGCAGCAUAGCCCUGCCUCCAGGUACUCCAGGAAGUCGCAGGAGCCCAGAGGUGCGGCCUGAAACGCCACAGACGUCUGCCGGCCUCAUCCCGGUGAGGGCCUCCGAGCUUCCAUCCCCACGAGGAAGGACAGAAUAUUUCCCCCCAGGAGAAGAAACACAGUUGCAGAGUCAAAACCGGCCUUGCCUGAAGCCUCACCUCUUUCCAGAAUGUUCCCUCUCAGCUGAGUCCCUCCUCAGAACUCCACCUUUUACACAGGAAACUUUGUUAUAUAGCAUUUAACUAAGAUUGUGAACUGG